rnacentral:rRNA from 1 species
UUUUAAACGGCGACAGAAGAAGCACCGGCUAACUCCGUGCCAGCAGCCGCGGUAAUACGGAGGGUGCGAGCGUUAAUCGGAAUUACUGGGCGUAAAGCGCAUGCAGGUGGUUUGUUAAGUCAGAUGUGAAAGCCCGGGGCUCAACCUCGGAAUUGCAUUUGAAACUGGCAGACUAGAGUACUGUAGAGGGGGGUAGGAAUUUCAGGUGUAGCGGUGAAAUGCGUAGAGAUCUGAAGGAAUACCGGUGGCGAAGGCGGCCCCCUGGACAGAUACUGACACUCAGAUGCGAAAGCGUGGGGAGCAAACAGGAUUAGAUACCCUGGUAG